rnacentral:lncRNA from 10 species
GAAGAGCUGUCCUGUGGGAGAAAUGACAGCAUGACAAACAGGCUAUGUGGACUUCAGCACAUCGGCACAAUGUGCCUCCAGUUUUUUCAUCUGGAAAAACAACUGGCAGUGGGUGGUGAUUAAAUAGAGGCCCGGCAUGGUUAAGCGGCAAGCCCAGAGUCAGCCAUCCAACGCAGCGCAGAGCUGUGAUACAACCCACUUCCACUCCCACGGCAUCUCGGCUUCGUGGGAGUUGAGGAGCGUCUCAACUGCAUGUCAGGAGAACCCAUGAAAAGGAAAGAACCCAGAACAAAUGGGUGAGAAAGUUCAAGACUAUGUUCAGCGUAAGAGCAAAAGCCUCCUGAGAAUUCUGCUUGCAGCCCAUUCCCAGGCAUUACAGUGCAAAGCUAAUUAGGGAGAAUGGCAUGAGUAGAAGACCACCAAGACCACCAGCUGAAACGGGUGUUCUCAUGGCCUCCAGUGGGCUCG